rnacentral:lncRNA from 1 species
AGUCCACCAGAAUAAACUGCUCCUGCUCUAUUCCUAUGGCUGCAGGUCAGAUUCAGGCCAGUCUGCAGUCAGAAGGUUCACUGGGAAUAAUUGAAACUGUGGCCAACCUGCAAACAGUGAGAAUCAACUCCUCCAACCCAGCGGGAAACUGGACCCUCAACAUCGCCUCACUACUGUCCUGCACUAUCAAAGUCACCGGUAAAAGUCCAAUAAACUUCAAGUUUGAUUUGGUGGACAUCGCCAAUAUCCCCUUACCGAACUCUGGCUACUCCGUGUCUCAAACCAGACCUUCUACAGGUGAGUCAACUCCCACUAGCACACUAGUUUUCUUCCGCGCUGCACGAAAACAGUGAGCUGAUUGGCUGUUUCUCCUGAAAGGCGGGACUUUAUCCUUGAACCAGUACCAUGAUUGAUUGGCGUUAAGAGACUUUUCAUUAACACAGUGGUCAGUAGCCUGUCUCCUCA